rnacentral:rRNA from 1 species
GAUGAACGCUGACAGAAUGCUUAACACAUGCAAGUCGAUGGGGAAGUGGUGCUUGCACCCUGGCAACCAUGGCGGACGGGUGAGUAACGCGUAAGGGACUUACCUGCAGGACUGGGAUAACAGGGGGAAACUCCUGACAAGACCGGAUAAUGUCAUGGAGCUGCAUGGCUUUAUGAUGAAAGGAGACGCCUGCGGAGAGCCUUGCGUCCUAUUAGCUAGUUGGUGAGGUAAUGGCUCACCAAGGCGAAGAUAGGUAGCCGGCCUGAGAGGGUGGACGGCCACAAGGGGACGGAGAUACGGCCCUUACUCCUACGGGAGGCAGCAGUGGGGAAUAUUGGACAAUGGGGGCAACCCUGAUCCAGCAAUUCUGUGUGCACGAAGAAGGUUUUCGGAGUGUAAAGUGCUUUCAGCAGGGAAGAAGUAAGUGACGGUACCUGCAGAAGAAGCGACGGCUAAAUACGUG